UACAGAGGUCUCAACCGUUGUUCGGAUUCAUUGGGCGUAAAGGGUGCGUAGGCGGUCGGGUAAGUCGGAUGUGAAAUCUCAGGGCUCAACCCUGAAACUGCAUUCGAUACUGCCUGGCUAGGGUACUGGAGAGGAGACUGGAAUUUACGGUGUAGCAGUGAAGUGCGUAGAUAUCGUAAGGAAGACCAGUGGCGAAGGCGAGUCUCUGGACAGUUACCGACGCUGAGGCACGAAGGUCAGGGGAGCAAACAGG
rnacentral:rRNA from 1 species